rnacentral:rRNA from 1 species
GACGAACGCUGGCGGCAUGCCUAAUACAUGCAAGUCGAGCGGACAGAAGGGAGCUUGCUCCUGGAAGUCAGCGGCGGACGGGUGAGUAACACGUGGGCAACCUGCCCUUUAGAUUGGGAUAACUUCGGGAAACCGAAGCUAAUACCGAAUAAUACAAGGAACCUCCUGGUUCUCUGUUGAAAGAUGGCCUUUGUGCUAUCACUAAAGGAUGGGCCCGCGGCGCAUUAGCUAGUUGGUAAGGUAACGGCUUACCAAGGCGACGAUGCGUAGCCGACCUGAGAGGGUGAUCGGCCACACUGGGACUGAGACACGGCCCAGACUCCUACGGGAGGCAGCAGUAGGGAAUCUUCCGCAAUGGACGAAAGUCUGACGGAGCAAUGCCGCGUGAGUGAGGAAGGCCUUCGGGUCGUAAAGCUCUGUUGUGAGGGAAGAACAAGUACCGGCGUAACUACCGGUACCGUGACGGUACCUCACCAGAAAGCCACGGCUAACUACGUGCCAGCCGCCGCGGUAA